rnacentral:rRNA from 1 species
UACGUAGGGUCCGAGCGUUGUCCGGAAUUAUUGGGCGUAAAGGGCUCGUAGGCGGUUUGUCGCGUCGGGAGUGAAAUCCACUGGCUUAACUGGUGGCUUGCUUUCGAUACGGGCAGACUGGAGGUAUGCAGGGGAGAACGGAAUUCCUGGUGUAGCGGUGGAAUGCGCAGAUAUCAGGAGGAACACCGGUGGCGAAGGCGGGUCUCUGGGCAGUAACUGACGCUGAGGAGCGAAAGCGUGGGGAGCGAACAGG